CAAAUGCGAAAAGUAUUGUGACAUGCAUUCUUUGUGAAUCAACGAAUUUUUGAACGCACCUUGCACCUCGUGGCACUGUCAAGAGGUAUACUUGUUUGAGCAUUGCAAAAACUUACCGCGCUGUAGCAGUAGUGAACAGUGUUGGUGAUUUGAGCCUCUGGGUGCGUAACGCGCACUUAGUUGUUUGAAAUGCACACUCGUGUAUGUCCGUUGUGGAUGACCGUCUCAUGGGAUAAUAUCCAAUCGUGAGACAACGUUCACAGUGGACACGGGCGAGUCCCGUCUGCAAUAGAAAUUAUUGUGGACACUGCGUGUCGUGUCGUGUAGUGCAAGCAAGCAUCACACAACACACACCCCUUAUCUUUACCAAUCUCAAAUCAAGUAGGAAGACCCGCUGAAC
rnacentral:misc_RNA from 1 species